UACGUAGGGGGCAAGCGUUAUCCGGAUUUACUGGGUGUAAAGGGGGCGCAGACGGCGAUGCAAGCCAGGAGUGAAAGCCCGGGGCCCAACCCCGGGACUGCUCUUGGAACUGCGUGGCUGGAGUGCAGGAGGGGCAGGCGGAAUUCCUGGUGUAGCGGUGAAAUGCGUAGAUAUCAGGAGGAACACCGGUGGCGAAAGCGGCCCUCUGGCCUGUAACUGACACUGAGGCUCGAAAGCGUGGGGAGCAAACAGG
rnacentral:rRNA from 1 species